rnacentral:rRNA from 1 species
GCACGCGCGCUACACUGAUGCGUUCAACGAGUAUACAACCUUGAUCGAUAGGUCUGGGUAAUCUUGUGAAUGCGCAUCGUGCUAGGGAUAGAUUGUUGCAAUUUUCAAUCUUGAACGAGGAAUUCCUAGUAAACGCAAGUCAUCAGCUUGCAUUGAUUACGUCCCUGCCCUUUGUACACACCGCCCGUCGCACCUACCGAUUGAAUGACUCGGUGAGAAAUCGGGACCGUGAAUCUGUUUGCUUCAUUGCGAGUGGAUUUAUGGGAACUUUUUCUAACCUCGCCAUUUAGAGGAAGGUGAAGUCGUAACAAGGUUUCCGUAGGUGAACCUGCGGAAGGAUCAUUACCACACCAUAAAAACUUUCCACGUGAACCGUUACAAUUAUGUUCUGUGCCUUCUCUCGGGGAGGCUGAACGAAGGUGGGCUGCUGUUAUGGCGGACUGCCGAUGUAUUUUUCAAACCCAUUUACUWAAUACUGAACUAUACUCCGAGAACGAAAGUUUUUGGUUUUAAUCCAUAACAACUUUCAGCAGUGGAUGUCUAGGCUCGCACAUCGAUGAAKAACGCUGCGAACUGCGAUACGUAAUGCGAAUUGCAGAAUUCAGUGAAUCAUCGA